AGAAGACACAGAGCUCAGCAGGCGGAAGCAGCUGCCUGGGGCUGUGCACUGCCUGCCUCUCAGCACAGGGAGUGCAGAGGACCUGCAGCAGGGGCUGGCAAGGCUAAGCCACCACCCAAAGGGGACUCAGCCAGAGGCCUGAGACCCUGGGAACCAAUACUGUUCCUCAAGCAGCAGCCGGCUGCCAUGGUGUGCAUCUGUAAUCCAGCACUCGGGAGGCUGAGGCAGGAGGAUCGCUGUGAAUUUGAGAGCAGCCUGGACUACAAACACCCGACCCCUGAGACCCUGGAGACUGCAGCCAUUUCCUUGGAGAGGAGGAGCACCAGCGCCCCUGGAAAAGGGGAGAAAACAGGGAACACGGCCCAGGAACCCCGAGGAGGACCCUUCGCAGCCACCUGGAUGCGGGCGUCUGGUCUCCUGCAGGUCAUCUCAGUCUGGGGGCCCAGGACGGACGCAGACGCUCAGGGUACUGAGCCUGAGUCCCAGGGGACCCUAAAGAGCUGAGGGUGACUCAUGCUAGGCAGGGUCAGCAGUCUGGACAGACUCAGACACCCCAACAGCCCUCCACACCCCACUCUGUGGGUCACCUCUAAGACGCCCUGCGCCCGUGCUGUCUGACACCCCCUCUCUUGUGCUGGCCGGGGGAGCCCCCAGCCCGGCACCCAGCCCAGCCCUCCUCCUGCUCUGAGAGAGGCUCCCGCCCCGCUGAACUCCCCCACCCGGAGCUGACCCCUGCCCCAUACCCACAGGACCGCAGGGCAUGGCGGAGGGUUUGGUCCCUGCUUUGCCCGGCCCUGCACGGGUCACAGAACACGUCCAGGGUCCUGCAUGCCCCGCACAGCACAGACCCAGCCAGAGAGCCAGACUGCACCCACCCUGGAUGCAGAAAUAAAACGAAAUGGGUAGCACUCCC